rnacentral:rRNA from 1 species
GAUGAACGCUGGCGGCGUGCCUAAUACAUGCAAGUCGAGCGAACAGACGAGGAGCUUGCUCCUCUGACGUUAGCGGCGGACGGGUGAGUAACACGUGGAUAACCUACCUAUAAGACUGGGAUAACUUCGGGAAACCGGAGCUAAUACCGGAUAAUAUAUUGAACCGCAUGGUUCAAUAGUGGAAGACGGUUUUGCUGUCACUUAUAGAUGGAUCCGCGCCGCAUUAGCUAGUUGGUAAGGUAACGGCUUACCAAGGCAACGAUGCGUAGCCGACCUGAGAGGGUGAUCGGCCACACUGGAACUGAGACACGGUCCAGACUCCUACGGGAGGCAGCAGUAGGGAAUCUUCCGCAAUGGGCGAAAGCUUGACGGAGCAACGCCGCGUGAGUGAUGAAGGUCUUCGGAUCGUAAAACGCUGUUAUUAGGGAAGAACAAAUGUGUAAGUAACUAUGCACGUCUUGACGGUACCUAAGCAGAAAGCCACGGCUAACUACGU